CAAGACAGUGAUGGCGUGAAUGAUGGUCAAAGUCUCUCUUCUUUUUUGGGUCACCCUGCAUUGUUGCUUUGUUUUUACUGAAUCAUCUUGUAUAUAAAAAACAUAAUUUGUUGUUUCUCAGGUGCUGUAUAAUCAGUAUGAGUUUAGAGCUUCCCAACGACUCUGAAGGUUCUUAUCAACUUAUAGUGGGGUUAUGUUCCCACAAAACCAUCGAAAAUGAUAUGAUAAACAACAUCGUCAAGUUGAAAUAUCCUGAGUCGAAUCAUUGUGUCUGUAUUAAAAAGACUGCCACACAGUUCUGAAUGGCAGAUGACCAAUUGCUGGAUAAUCAAUGAUGUAUUUAUUUAGCCACACAGUUGUGUGCAUGAUAAUGUGUAUUAAUAAUGUUUAUAAAUGUGUAGGAUGAGG